rnacentral:rRNA from 1 species
UACGUAGGGGGCAAGCGUUGUCCGGAAUCAUUGGGCGUAAAGAGCGUGUAGGCGGCCUGGUAAGUCCGCUGUGAAAGUCCAGGGCUCAACCCUGGAAUGCCGGUGGAAACUGUCAGGCUCGAGUCCGGAAGAGGCGAGUGGAAUUCCUGGUGUAGCGGUGAAAUGCGUAGAUAUCAUGAGGAACACCGGUGGCGAAGGCGGUUACCUGGAAGAUUCCUGACUCUGAAACACGAAAGCCAGGGGAGCAAACGGG